CUACUGAUGUUGUACAUUGAAGACACUACACCUUCAGCUAUAUUCUUCUUUAUCUGUUUUUAAUUUGAUAGUUUGUGUCUUGUAAAUAUUAUGUUAUACCCUUAAUAACUGUGAACCUUCUGUACACAGAUCUUUGAUUUGUUCGAUGUUAAAAGGAAAGGAGUAGUUGACUUCGGUGACUUCGUCAGAGUGUUGAACGUCUUCCAUCCUAAUGCCUCCCAAGAGGAUAAGAUAGACUUCACAUUUAAGCUUUAUGACCUGGAUGGCACAGUAUAUAUUGAGCGCAAUGAGAUCGAGCUGGAAUCUGCAAAGUCUGAAAUUCAGAAAUAGCAUUCUUCAUUUCAGGAUGAGUCUUUUAUAUCCCCAGCUACUACUCCA